rnacentral:rRNA from 1 species
UACGGGGGGAGCAAGCGUUGUUCGGAUUUACUGGGCGUAAAGGGCGCGUAGGCGGCGCAACAAGUCACUUGUGAAAUCUCCGGGCUUAACCCGGAAAGGUCAACUGAUACUGUGCGACUAGAGUGCGGAAGGGGCAACUGGAAUUCUCGGUGUAGCGGUGAAAUGCGUAGAUAUCGAGAGGAACACCUGCGGCGAAGGCGGGUUGCUGGGCUGACACUGACGCUGAGGCGCGAAAGCUAGGGGAGCGAACGGG